rnacentral:rRNA from 1 species
GAUGAACGCUAGCGGGAGGCCUAACACAUGCAAGCCGAGCGGUAUUGUUUCUUCGGAAAUGAGAGAGCGGCGUACGGGUGCGUAACACGUGUGCAACCUGCCUUUAUCUGGGGGAUAGCCUUUCGAAAGGAAGAUUAAUACUCCAUAAUAUAUUGAACGGCAUCGUUUAAUAUUGAAAGCUCCGGCGGAUAGAGAUGGGCACGCGCAAGAUUAGCUAGUUGGUGAGGUAACGGCUCACCAAGGCGAUGAUCUUUAGGGGGCCUGAGAGGGUGAUCCCCCACACUGGUACGGAGACACGGACCAGACUCCUACGGGAGGCAGCAGUGAGAAAUAUUAGUCAAUGGGUGCAAGCCUGAACCAGCCAUCCCGCGUGAAGGACGACUGCCCUAUGGGUUGUAAACUUCUUUUGGAUAGGGAUAAACCUACCCUCGUGAGGGUAGCUGAAGGUACUAUACGAAUAAGCACCGGCUAACUCCGUGCCAGCAGCCGCGGUAAUAC